rnacentral:lncRNA from 1 species
AAAGGUUUUCCUUGUGGUUGAAGAAACUUAUUUAUCUCUUGUAGAUGAACAUGGUGUUCUUGGAGUCGCUUCGCCUGUACGGACCAGUAUCAUAUUUCUCCAGAGAUGCAACAAAGGAUCUGACGCUAGGGCACCUAAAGAUCCCCAAGGGCACAACGAUAGUUUUCCCUCUUAUGAAGAUGCACAGCGACAAGGCCGUUUGGGGAUCAGACGCUGAUAAGUUCAACCCGCUGCGAUUUGAAAACGGCGUUUCCAGAGCCGCUAGUCACCCAAACGCUCUCCUCGCGUUCUCAAUGGGACCAAGAGCUUGCAUUGGCCAAAACUUUACAAUGAUUGAAGCCAAGGUCGUGCUCACCAUGAUCCUUCAACGGUUCAGGCUUAGCCUCUCAGGCGAGUAUAAACACGCGCCGGUGGAUCACCUCACUCUAACUCCUCAGUACGGCUUACCCGUAAUGCUUCAGCCUCUGUGAGCCUUUAUGAGCCAAAGAGUUAUCAAAUCCUAUAUCGUGCUUUAAGCCGGUUUAAAUAAAUAGUGAUGUGUGCUACUACUUAACUAAACUGCUAUGUGCUAAUUGAUACUUUUUCAGUUGCAUAAUAUAAGAUGGAUGUCUUAUAGAAGAUCUUUUGUUACUUUCAAAACAAUUUUAAUUUUAUUAAAAACUGGUCAACCAAUAUUUAUGAUUGAUUAAUUCAUCUUAAACUUAUACUAUUAAUAGUGAUUUUAACAAAUUUUUCCCAAGAUGUACAACGCUCUUAUCAUCCUUGUGUGGCAGCCAUUUGUCUUGACAAGAAGAUUCAAGAAACAAGGAAUCUCAGGACCAAGGUACAGAUUCUUGUACGGAAACAUCGACGAGAUAAACAAGAUGAAGAUAGAAUCUCACCUUUCGAUUCUUGAUCCAAACUCCAAUGACAUCUUUCCUCGUAUUUUCCCUCAUUACCAACAAUGGAUGACUCUAUACGGUGCCGUUUUCACCAUCUCAAUCUUUCUACUCAUGUGUUUUUUUUUAACUAUGCGUGACACACACGUUUGUUUAUAUGGUAUAUAUGUCACUAGGAGAUACGUUUCUUUACUGGAACGGAACAGAGCCAAUGCUAUGCAUCUCAGAUCUUGAACUCGUCAAGCAAAUCUUGUCAAACAAGUCAGGUUUCUUUGUUAAAUCAAAGAUAAGGCCAGAGUUCUUUAAACUUGUCGGCAUGAAGGGAUUUGCCUUUGUCGAAGAUGUUGACUGGGUUCGCCAUAGGAGAAUCUUGAACCCUGCUUUCUCCAUCGAUAGGCUCAAGGUCAUGACGAAAGUGAUGGUGGAGUGCACACUGAGGGUGCUGGACAAGUGGAGUAAUGUUAAAAGAGAGCAGAAAAUGGAGAUGAACAGAGAGUUUAGGAGAUUAACGGCUGAUAUUAUAGCAACCGCUGCGUUUGGAAGCAGUUACAACGAAGGAAUCGAAGUGUUUAGGACACAAGAAGAGCUUAAGAAGUGUUUUGUUACAUGUCUCACUAACUUCUACAUCCCUGGAACUCGGUAAGCACAACUCUCAGUUCAUGUUUUUUUUUGUUCUGUUCAGACAAGAUUCUCAAGUUCUUGUUUCUUGUUGUCCAAGGUACCUUCCUACGCCUUCGAAUAUUCAUAUCUGGAAGCUUAAAUAGGAAGAUGAAGAACUCAGUCAAGAAGGUUGUAGAUUCUAGACUAGCAUCAAAACAAGAUUAUGGAGACGAUCUUCUUGGAAUCAUGUUGAAAUCUUGCGAGUCAGAAAGGAACGAAAGAAAGCUGAGCAUUGAAGAGAUCAUAGAUGAAUGGAAGACAUUUUUCUUCGGGGGAUACGAAACUAACUCGAAUCUAUUGACAUGGACCACCAUGUUGCUGAGCUUGCACCAAGACUGGCAGGAGAAGCUAAGACACGAAAUCUUCGAAGAGUGCGGUAAAGACAAGACGCCAGAUUCAGACACUUUCUCCAAACUCAAACUGUUAAUAAAAUGUUUACUUGUGGUUCAAGUAAAGGUUUUCCUUGUGGUUGAAGAAACUUAUUUAUCUCUUGUAGAUGAACAUGGUGUUCUUGGAGUCGCUUCGCCUGUACGGACCAGUAUCAUAUUUCUCCAGAGAUGCAACAAAGGAUCUGACGCUAGGGCACCUAAAGAUCCCCAAGGGCACAACGAUAGUUUUCCCUCUUAUGAAGAUGCACAGCGACAAGGCCGUUUGGGGAUCAGACGCUGAUAAGUUCAACCCGCUGCGAUUUGAAAACGGCGUUUCCAGAGCCGCUAGUCACCCAAACGCUCUCCUCGCGUUCUCAAUGGGACCAAGAGCUUGCAUUGGCCAAAACUUUACAAUGAUUGAAGCCAAGGUCGUGCUCACCAUGAUCCUUCAACGGUUCAGGCUUAGCCUCUCAGGCGAGUAUAAACACGCGCCGGUGGAUCACCUCACUCUAACUCCUCAGUACGGCUUACCCGUAAUGCUUCAGCCUCUGUGAGCCUUUAUGAGCCAAAGAGUUAUCAAAUCCUAUAUCGUGCUUUAAGCCGGUUUAAAUAAAUAGUGAUGUGUGCUACUACUUAACUAAACUGCUAUGUGCUAAUUGAUACUUUUUCAGUUGCAUAAUAUAAGAUGGAUGUCUUAUAGAAGAUCUUUUGUUACUUUCAAAACAAUUUUAAUUUUAUUAAAAACUGGUCAACCAAUAUUUAUGAUUGAUUAAUUCAUCUUAAACUUAUACUAUUAAUAGUGAUUUUAACAAAUUUCUCUUCAUUCUCUUGUGCUCAGCGAAGGAACUUCCUAAGCAUACUUUUUUGGAUUAUUUUUAAAAAAAGUAAAUUUACUAAUUCUUGUGAUUUUAGCCAAAGCAUCUUACGUUAUGGAACAUAUGGAGUAUUUGCUUAUCCUGUAGAGGAGAACAAAACUAUCAAAUAUAAUUGAAAAGUAGAAUGUUUUACAUCUUUAUCAGAUAAAUCACAUGUCUGAACCAAUAGCAAGAGGUAAUAAAUAACACUAUGUUAAGUGUUCUAUCACUUGCCUAUUCCAUUUUGUUUUGGAACUCAGAUGUGUCAUAGACACGAGCAGUGUGAUCAACAGAGACCGACACAAUGAACUCGGUGUUGGCGGAAACUGAGAUGGACUGGACCGCAUCCUGGUGGCCAUGGAAGGUGUGGACGCAGUUGCCUAAUAAGCUGUCCCAAACGCUCACUGUACCAUCAGCACAGCCUGUGGCUAAGUACUUUGAGGUUCCUAUCCAACUUACGCAUGUCACACCUUCCUAUAACAAAGAAAUAGUGAAGAAGGGCUUAUUGUUUACAUUCCAAUCUCUGUUUAGUAUUCUAUCUCAUAAGAGAAAACUAAAAGAGUGAGGAUCAUACCGCGUGCUCGCAGAUGAACCUAGGAGUUGAGUGUUGCAGAUCCCAGAUUACAAGCUUCUUGUCCAUCCCACCUGUUGCAGCCAUAGGGAUAGUUGCGGAGCUUGGUGAAAACUUCACGCAUUCAACUGACUCUGUAUGAGAACUCAGAGAGCUCACAACCUGUUGUUAUGAAGUUAGACGCACACAGACAUACGCAGAGAAUUUGAUAACUGAGAUGAAGCAAUGAAAACAAACCUUUCCAGUGACUAUAUUGACAAUGUGAACAGAACCGUCUUUUGAGCCACUGAUAGCGAGACUGGAGUUGGAGUUAAUGUCCAAGCAUAUCAACCCUUCCGUAUGAUACGGAUGACCUACAUGAAAACCAAAGGUUAGCAUUCUACAGCAACAUGUAAAAACCAAUAGAGGGAGUGAGUUUAACUUGCCUUUAACCACAUGAAUGCUUUCACAAGUCUUCGGGUUCCACACAAUCAAACUACCAUCAUCAGAGCCGGUACAGAUUAGUUUACCUUCAGGAGUAAAGUCACCGCAAGUGACACUCUGAUUGUGACCAGAGAACAUAUUGAGGUAAGCCUCUUUAUCAGCAUUCCACAUCCACAUAGAACAAUCUUCUGAACCAGCCAACACAAUGUGUCCUCUCGGAUGCCACUUCACCCACUGAUUAAGAAGAUAACACAGUAAGUAUAAUCUUCUGACUUAAUUGUUAUCAAGGACAAGUUUUUCUAAUACCUCGAUGCCACUACCAGGACCGUCUAAAACACAUUUCAAAGUCCCUGAGGAUGCAUCAAAGAUCUGAACGACACCGUCCAACCCUCCAGAGGCAAGUAACUGUCCGUCGUAGCUAAAAGCUAGAGAAGAAACAGAGUCUUUGUGAGCGGGAAGCUCAGCAGCCCAAUCUCCGUUGCCGAUUUUCCAGAGGAAGGCUUUGUCAUCUCCGCCUCCGGUUGCUACAAGGGUGGGGUCUAGAGGGCUACAUGUCAAUGCAUAAAGCUCACCUGCGUAAAGAAAAUCGUUCUUAGUUUCACGAAAACAACAAACAUUGAAGUGAUAAAAGUGGUUUACCUUUGUGACCGGUGAAUGUGUGAACUGAGUCAUCGUUUUCAUCUACGGAAACAAAGCAAUAAGAACGAAGGAAGAGUCACACACAUGUUAUAAACACAAGCUACUAACACAAGAGGUGGUGAUUGAGAUAGUACCAAACACUUCAUCCUCAUUGUCGUUGUCAUUAUCAUCUUCAUCAUAUGCGUCAGGAAGAUCUGAGUUUACAUAACAAGAGUCAUACAAAAGUACAUAUGAUUCAAAAGGUUAAGACUUUAAGAAGGAGAGAGAUGAAGAUGAAGAAAAAGGAGAAACCUUCUCCGUCGACAUCGAUUUCAUGGAGGACAUCGGAUUCACCGAGGAAAACGUCUCCCUCGUCUUCUUCUUCCAUUGCUGGAUUAUUCAUAUCCCUGUUACUCAUCUUCUCCUCAGUUAUCACAGAAUCUUUUUACAACUAACACGACAAAGAAGCAGCAGCAGCGAAGAAGAAGACAGACGCGACGAGGCGGCGGACGGAGGGGGAGGGGGAGGCGUGACGUGUCACGGCGUUAGAGGAGGGAGGAGACAGAGAGUACAAAACCCUUAUUUUUGCCUCUUUUUUUCCUUACAAAACCCUUAAUAAAACCUUUUUUUUUUAUUUAUAAGAAUGAGCUUUGCGUGCCUUGUGUGUCACAGUGUAGAGAGCCCGUCCCACUCCUUUAGAAGCUACUCCGUGUCUAGCUCAGACAACGAAGGAAGAUGCUCUGUGAUCGCGAGCUGCCUCACUAGGAAGUCACUUAUUCAAGCUGCAAGGUCCAACACUUUCCCUGCAUCAUCCUCAAAGGUAACCCCACAACCCAAUUUCCAGGCAGGCGAUCUGAUGAUUACACAAGGAGCCUCGCCACGGUUAGUGCGAAGCCGUGCAGGGAGAAAAGACUGGAACUUCAACGAAAUCGAGGCAGAGCUUUAAAAAACCAAAUCUGACUCUAUUCUCUUAUAGACUAGUGUUAGUUUGUUCAUCCUUCGGGUGAUCUUAGCAGUCUAUCUUUUGAGUUCUGUUCACACGAUCUUACAUUCAUCACUUGUCAAAUUUUGUACUCUUCUCACUACUUUAUAAACCAAUAAAUCUAUAAAAUUAUCUUUCACGUUUCCGACCGUUUAGUUUGGUCUAAAUCAUACGAGCCUGAGCUGGACAUGUUAACAACAUGUCAUUUGUCAAGACAUCUAUUCGGAUUUGUGAAAGAAUGAAUGUGAAUGUUUCUUUCUUUAAUUUUUUUGAUUAUUGUUCAAAAAUAACCAAAAAUUCUAAAGUUAAAGAAAGUGGAUAGUUCAGUCUUACCAAAAUCGCCUAUAAUAUAAAAGUUACAUAAUCCCUUUUAAACAAAUUGAGAGCAAAAACCUAAUUCUUUUUCGUCAUUUUAUAAUUGAUGUUGUCUAUCUUAUUUUGAUGAUUUGUGUCAGUCGCAAAACUUAAUUUCCUUUUGUGCAUAUGAAAUUUUAAAGUAAUUAAAAUGAGAUGUAAUGUUAACUCUUCAACAACGAUGAUACAUUUAAGAGAUUAACAUUUGUAUUGGUCAUCUUACAAUCAAUAAAGAUUGUAGAGUAACAAAAUAUUAAAAUCAUUUAAUGAACAAACAUUAAUAUAAAAGCCCAUAUACACAUGCGCAUGGAUUAUCAUCUAGUUUUUUUUAUUAUUGUUCAAAAGUAACCAAGGUACUAAAGUUAAAGAAAGUGGAUAGUUAAGUCUUACCAAAAUCGCCUAUAAUAUAAAAAGUUACAUAAUCCUUUUUAAAAUGUAUGUAAAUGAAACAAUACAGAGGAAUAAGAGAGGUAACACACACUAAUAUCUUAAGAUUACAAUAUUUGCAAGAAAGGAUUAAUCAUGGUUAAAUGUGCUACUUGAUAUUUGUAUAUUGAUAUAAUGAUAUUUUGCAUAGCAGCUAAACGAGAAACAAAACUAUUGAUAGUUGAUAACUAGUAUGUUUUCACUUUUCAUCUUAUCAUAUAAUCACAAAAGCAAACUUCAACACUUACAUUACACUAUUUUUUGUAACAAAAUAAUUUCUAGAAAUAUCAUAUGAUCUGGAUAUAUUAGCAACAAAUCAUUUUCAAGACCAUCUACUCGGAUGUGCGGAAGAAAUCAUGUGAAAGCUCUUUCUUUUAAGAAAGUAACCUAGAUAUUAAAGUUAAAUAAAGUCGACAGUUAAGUCUUAACAAAUUAACUUACUAUAUAAAAAUAACAUCUACGUGUGAAUAAUUAAACGUGAAUAAUAAAGAAAAGAAAAAAACGAUUUUGUUUAUUGAUUUACUAUAUAUACAUCAAAAUGAGAAUAAUUUUACUUUCAUGAAUAAUUUUAUGAAUCUAGAAGACUUAUUCAUCUGAUGACAAAAAAAAGAAAAAAAGAAAGAAGACUUACUCAUCUUCAUACCUUUUACUAAUAUUAUGAUUACGUAACAAUAUAUGCCAUGUACAAAUUUAGAAUCCACUCUAUCAUCUUACCACAUAUAAAGCACAUUUUAUAUUUAAUUAAUUGCUUUUUUUGCUCAAAAUGAAGAAUACGUGUUCGUGCUUACUUCAUCUUUAAAAUAGAAAUCAUUGAAUUAACUACAGAUCCUCGACAAAACCUAACGAAACAUUGGCCUUAAGUCCCCAAAAAUUUUGGAAAAAAUUACAUAGAAAAACCCCCAACAAAUUUUUUUUAGGCUCCCAAGUUUACCAAAAAAAAAAAAUUUUGCUGAAAUUUUUAAAAAUCGUUUAUAGCCCCCUAAAUCUCAGGUCGUAAUAACUAGCCUCAUACUUAUUUUACAAUAUGAAGUGUAUCUAUAUAUUCAUCUCAUUCACAAUGUAAAACUUAAAAACACUACUAAACCAGCAAUUAUACACACAGAAAACACUUGUGUUGUUCUUUCAAUGGAGCUCAUAACCCUGAUGAAUCCUAUCUUAGCACUGCUUGUUUUGCUCUUUGUUGUUCCCAAGAUGUACAACGCUCUUAUCAUCCUUGUGUGGCAGCCAUUUGUCUUGACAAGAAGAUUCAAGAAACAAGGAAUCUCAGGACCAAGGUACAGAUUCUUGUACGGAAACAUCGACGAGAUAAACAAGAUGAAGAUAGAAUCUCACCUUUCGAUUCUUGAUCCAAACUCCAAUGACAUCUUUCCUCGUAUUUUCCCUCAUUACCAACAAUGGAUGACUCUAUACGGUGCCGUUUUCACCAUCUCAAUCUUUCUACUCAUGUGUUUUUUUUUAACUAUGCGUGACACACACGUUUGUUUAUAUGGUAUAUAUGUCACUAGGAGAUACGUUUCUUUACUGGAACGGAACAGAGCCAAUGCUAUGCAUCUCAGAUCUUGAACUCGUCAAGCAAAUCUUGUCAAACAAGUCAGGUUUCUUUGUUAAAUCAAAGAUAAGGCCAGAGUUCUUUAAACUUGUCGGCAUGAAGGGAUUUGCCUUUGUCGAAGAUGUUGACUGGGUUCGCCAUAGGAGAAUCUUGAACCCUGCUUUCUCCAUCGAUAGGCUCAAGGUCAUGACGAAAGUGAUGGUGGAGUGCACACUGAGGGUGCUGGACAAGUGGAGUAAUGUUAAAAGAGAGCAGAAAAUGGAGAUGAACAGAGAGUUUAGGAGAUUAACGGCUGAUAUUAUAGCAACCGCUGCGUUUGGAAGCAGUUACAACGAAGGAAUCGAAGUGUUUAGGACACAAGAAGAGCUUAAGAAGUGUUUUGUUACAUGUCUCACUAACUUCUACAUCCCUGGAACUCGGUAAGCACAACUCUCAGUUCAUGUUUUUUUUUGUUCUGUUCAGACAAGAUUCUCAAGUUCUUGUUUCUUGUUGUCCAAGGUACCUUCCUACGCCUUCGAAUAUUCAUAUCUGGAAGCUUAAAUAGGAAGAUGAAGAACUCAGUCAAGAAGGUUGUAGAUUCUAGACUAGCAUCAAAACAAGAUUAUGGAGACGAUCUUCUUGGAAUCAUGUUGAAAUCUUGCGAGUCAGAAAGGAACGAAAGAAAGCUGAGCAUUGAAGAGAUCAUAGAUGAAUGGAAGACAUUUUUCUUCGGGGGAUACGAAACUAACUCGAAUCUAUUGACAUGGACCACCAUGUUGCUGAGCUUGCACCAAGACUGGCAGGAGAAGCUAAGACACGAAAUCUUCGAAGAGUGCGGUAAAGACAAGACGCCAGAUUCAGACACUUUCUCCAAACUCAAACUGUUAAUAAAAUGUUUACUUGUGGUUCAAGUAAAGGUUUUCCUUGUGGUUGAAGAAACUUAUUUAUCUCUUGUAGAUGAACAUGGUGUUCUUGGAGUCGCUUCGCCUGUACGGACCAGUAUCAUAUUUCUCCAGAGAUGCAACAAAGGAUCUGACGCUAGGGCACCUAAAGAUCCCCAAGGGCACAACGAUAGUUUUCCCUCUUAUGAAGAUGCACAGCGACAAGGCCGUUUGGGGAUCAGACGCUGAUAAGUUCAACCCGCUGCGAUUUGAAAACGGCGUUUCCAGAGCCGCUAGUCACCCAAACGCUCUCCUCGCGUUCUCAAUGGGACCAAGAGCUUGCAUUGGCCAAAACUUUACAAUGAUUGAAGCCAAGGUCGUGCUCACCAUGAUCCUUCAACGGUUCAGGCUUAGCCUCUCAGGCGAGUAUAAACACGCGCCGGUGGAUCACCUCACUCUAACUCCUCAGUACGGCUUACCCGUAAUGCUUCAGCCUCUGUGAGCCUUUAUGAGCCAAAGAGUUAUCAAAUCCUAUAUCGUGCUUUAAGCCGGUUUAAAUAAAUAGUGAUGUGUGCU